rnacentral:rRNA from 1 species
GUGCACCAGUCGCGAAAACUUUACAAUGCGAGCAAUCGUGAUAAGGAGACCCUGAGUGCCUGUCAAUGCAGGCUGUUCUGGUGUCUAACACACACCAGGAGAAAGGGCGGGGCAAGACCGGUGCCAGCCGCCGCGGUAAUACCGGCUGCUCGAGUGAUAGCCACUUUUACUGGGCUUAAAGCGUUCGUAGCUUGGUCGUUAAGUCUCUGGGGAAAUCUUUUGGCUCAACCAAAAGGCGUCUCAGGGAAACUGGCGAUCUUGGAACCGGGAGAGGUAAGACGUACUUCGGGGGUAGGAGUGAAAUCUUGUAAUCCCCGAGGGACGACCGAUGGCGAAGGCAUCUUACCAGAACGGCUUCGACAGUGAGGGACGAAAGCUGGGGGAGCAAACCGGAUUAGAUACCCCCGUAGUCC